AUGCGUUGGAGCUUCCUGCUUGUUUUUUCAUACGCGUUCCAUUCUGAGCUGUUUUCAACCACUAAACACCGACCGCGCCAUGAAGUGUGGCCUUUUUCGGACGUGAGCGAUCACCUUAGGUUUCAGCUCCUGUUUAAAGCGACGCCCUGGGGCCUCCAGCGACGGGAUGGACGACGGUUUGGAGAGAAGCUCGUAAACUGCGAUCUCGAGCGUUCGUCUUCAAAUAAAGGCGGCGCGGAUCAGCGAUAAAAGGGACUUUUGGUGUCACGGCCCCUCGCCUUCCCAACGGCAACGGCAACGUUCGCCAGGUUCAAGAUCACCGGUCCUCCCGCGGUUCGCGCAUCGCGCACAUCGCUCGACACCCAUCUUGCGGACACCGAGCCCGGCACACAGUGGAGUACCUGUAUAGGGAGAGUACGGCCAGAUCGGUUCAUGGAGGGCUUAGGGCCCAAAAGUGCAGCCACCCUUCUAACCAACUUUUAACGCACAAAAUUUCACUGCAGUAUCUGUCGGGCGUCUGCAAGUUAGAGUAGCUGUAAAGAAAGAGUAUGGGCAACUCGAAAUAUGUAGCUCUUGGGGCCCAAAAGGGUAGGUAACCUUUGAAAGCAAAAAAUUUCACUGUCAAUCUUUAGACUCCAAUACCAAACGAAAAUGGACAAGAAAAUUCAUAAGUAAGCAUUCUUCCGCAAAAAUGAGUGAGUUGAUGCAAAAACCAAUUCAAUUCGUGCUUUACCAUCGACAGCUCCCAACAAUUGUGAUUAUAAAUCACUCUGGAUAAUUUGAACUCAUAGAUUGCCUACCUUUUUGGGGUCUAAGAGCUUCAUCACCUAACCUCAAAAUUUUCGACUUGUCCAUAUACUCUCCCUAUAUAGAUACUCUACUGCAAGUAGGUAUGGGAGUCAUUUCAGCAAAAUCUUAGGAGAGACAAAAGUUACAAUGCCUUUGUAGAGAGAGUAUAGAUAUUGGGCCUCAUGGAAACCAUUGGGAAAAAUGAAGCACGUAACGUCGCCCUAAAGUAAGGGCGUAUCUCAAUUUCUAUUUGAGCCCCGUUAUCCAUAGAGCUCUGUGCUUUGAGGAGCUCAUGUAGAAUUAGAGAUACACAUUUACGCCAGAGCAGCAACGAUAAGUAUCACUGGGAAAAGGAUGCCGUACCAUCCCAGGUUUCACUGAUGUCAAGUAAAAAGUGAAAAACUCGUCAGUCUGUGAAACAAACUUUUGAGAAAAAAAUAAGUUGUAAAAUUUGUUUACAUAACCCGUAAAAUUUUUUAAUAAUUUUUUAGUAUUGUUAAAAAUCUCGUGAAUAAUCCAUAAGGUGUCGGUCAAAGGGGAACAUUCGACUAUUAAUAUGUGGGUUUGUAUUUAACAUUAUCGACCGGCGGCCGCUGGCGUAAUUUUUAGACUUUUGACCGGCCAGUCCAUGGACUCGGACUUGCUUUCCGGUUCUCGGAAUGGGCGAAAACAUCCACCAGUGCGCGAAUUGGCCAACGGGGAUGGCCUGUCUACCGACGGAACACAAGACCACAAGAGUCUCCGAACUGGACAAUUCCGUCCACCAUGAAUAACGAAAGCAGAAUUAUUGGCAAUUUAAAGUCUUAAAACUUAAUUAAAGUCACAAAAAAUUUAAAACAAUUUUUAGGAAAGAUGAGUCAACCAUCGGAAAGAAGGGGAGUUUUUUCGAUCAAAAUGUAUGUAGCUGUAAAUAAAAUCAUUAUAGAAUGCAAUUCCAACCCAUAAUUGAGCUUGCAUGAUCAUUACGUAUUGUUUUUGAUAAAAAAGAAAUCAACUCUUUUAAUGCAUAUUUGGCUGUUUAGUGGUUGGCGUAGUUCCAUUGUGCGACUAUUUUAUUGUAAAUUCUUUGGAGAUAAACCUUUGCCAAAUAGUCUAAAGAGCUCCCAAAUCCUAGUCUGAAGUAGAGUGUAAUCGAGAUACACCAUUACUGCAAGUUGGCAAGGAUGCGCCUUGUUUAAUUACUACCUUCCUCGUUUUCGCAUUUUCGACACUUUGUAAAUUGAUUCCCUGCGGCCGCAGGACCGUAAACCUAAAAUCUGCGUUGUCAAGGCUAGUCCGCUGUUUACAUUGAUUCACUUACAUGAGAUGAGCGAAACGAUGACAAAAGGCGGGACUGAAGGAUUGAGCCGCGAGCUAGACUGUGCAGCAUUUAAUCCGACCGCUUUUAAUGUUUAAUGGAGUCCCCUAAAACCAGCAAUUUCGUGGGAGAUUGUUGUUUUUAAGCUAGGGUCAAACUUGUGAAAUAUCACUUUAAAUCUUGGUCCAUUCCGUGCCUUGAAAUUGAUGCCCUUGAGUUUGCUCGAGCUUUUAUUUUAUCAGAACUUAAUCAAAUUUAAAUGGUCAGUUGAAUUUAUUCCGAGAUCUUAUUUAGACGAUUAAAAAGUGCCCACAGGAAAAGUAAUACAUCAAUACGUCCAAUUAAUUAAUUUUUAGUAGAUACUUAGUUGCUUUAUAAGUAAGGAAAAUAUAUUUUCCUUCAUGAAUAAUAAUUUUUAAUACUAUUCGCCACUGAGUGCGCAUCGCAGUUUUUCCAUCAAGGUUGUACAAAAAGUAAUAAAAAUGGAUGAACCUGUAUGCAUUGUGCGAAUCAAAUCAAUAAAUUAGGAAGGGGAGAAUUAUUGGUACUGAUUACCACAUUCGAUGACAUAAAUUGUAGUUUUUUUUUCAAGUUUGAUAUUUUUAGUGAGUUAAUUUGUACACAAACUUAGUUUUUGGAUGAAUCUGAUUGUAUGUUUAAACAAACAGGUUCAAAUCUCUAACACACAGCCGAUGCUAUGCCAUCAGGCGCUUCUGCCUCCAUCUUAAUUGAGGAGGAUAGCGUUAUUCAGUAAAUUCUUGAAUCCUAAAGUAAUUUCUGCCGUUAUUUAGUGUUUAUAUUUUGUAAGACAAUGUGGAAUUUUGUAAAAUUAUACUGUUGCUGAAUAAAUAAAAAAAGAAUAAAAAAAGUAUCUGAACACGCUUUAAUGAUUAGCGCAACUGACAAAUUUUGUAUAUGAAUGCAAUUUUUGUAUAAGUAACCAUCCUUAACCUUACCCGAAGUUCAUCUUUCUGCGAGAAUGGCGUUUCAGACGGUGAAACUUCAAAACCGUUCACGCAACCUAUUUUUCUUUUUUAAGUUACUCAAGAAUCACCAUG
rnacentral:lncRNA from 1 species